rnacentral:rRNA from 1 species
CUCCGGUUGAUCCCGCCGGACCUGACUGCUAUCGGAUUGGUACUAAGCCAUGCGAGUCAUUGUAGCAAUACAAGGCGGACGGCUCAGUAACACGUAGUCAACCUAACUCGUGGACGUGGAUAACCUCGGGAAACUGAGAAUAAACCACGAUAGAUCAUAGUGCCUGGAAUGGCUUAUGGUCCAAACAGUUUACUGCCAUGGGAUGGGACUGCGGCCUAUCAGCUUGUUGGUGAGGUAAUGGCCCACCAAGGCGAUUACAGGUACGGGCUCUGAGAGGAGAAGCCCGGAGAUGGGUACUGAGACACGGACCCAGGCCCUAUGGGGCGCAGCAGGCGAGAAACCUUAGCAAUGUGCGAAAGCACGACUGGGUCAGUCCGAGUGAUUCCUGAUAAAGGAGUCUUUUGCUUGUCCUAAAAGCACAGGUGAAUAAGGGGUGGGCAAGUCUGGUGUCAGCCGCCGCGGUAAUACCAGCACCUCGAGUGGUCAGGACGUUUAUUGGGCCUAAAGCAUCCGUAGCCGGCUCUGCAAGUCUUCGGUUAAAUCCACCUGCUCAACAGAUGGGCUGCUGGAGAUACUACAGAGCUAGGGAGUGGGAGAGGCAGACGGUAUUCAGUGGGUAGGGGUAAAAUCCUCUGAUCCAUUGAGGACCACCAGUGGCGAAGGCGGUCUGCCAGAACACGUUCGACGGUGAGGGAUGAAAGCUGGGGGAGCAAACCGGAUUAGAUACCCGGGUAGUCCCAGCUGUAAACGAUGCAAACUCGGUGAUGCAUUGGCUUAUGGCCAAUGCAGUGCCGCAGGGAAGCCGUUAAGUUUGCCGCCUGGGAAGUACGGACGCAAGUCUGAAACUUAAAGGAAUUUGGCGGGGGAGCA